CCAGUUGUGAUGAACACCGUAAGAAUCAGGCAUAUUACGAGGGACAUGCCAAUUACCACCCCAACGAACUUUUUCGUUAGCUCUGUAGUAGUCGAUUUGCCACUACAAGAAAUAUGGGUAUUGGUAGCAGUUCGUGGUAGCACGAAUUCACCAACUGCUACCAAAAGUGCCAAAAUCAGAUCACAACUCAAUCGUAACAUUAAAUUCGCGCUAUGGAAUUUUUUUAUUAAGCGGAAACGCAAAAUUCUGUUUUGUAGCUGAAAUGUUAUUUUGGAGGGUAAAACACUUAACGAAAUUUCACAUUCCCACCAAAAAAUAAUGUUUUGGUAGAAAUUGUUAUUUUUUUGCCCAAGUCAUUUUCAUUUUACAAAGAAAAAAAAAACUUAUUUGUUUUCUCUAUCAUCGUCUUCAUUGUUUAUUUGACUCAAUCUAUCUAUUUCGAUCGAAGAAACACAUAUGGAUUGGUCUUGUUCAAAGUCGAACUCAGGAACCCUAAUCUGUCAAGCCGCUGGACUCUUCUUCUUCGUCAUACACAAACUCCUCCAUCCACGGCGAAUUGGCUCCUUCACCUUCCUCCGCUGCUUUUCACCACCAUCACAUUUGCCGCUUCUUCUUCAUAUUCCCUUUGUUUUAUCAAUCUCAAUUGCACAGAAAUCAAAACUCUAGAGGUCAUCGACCUAUAUCCUUUGACAAGGUAUGGCCCAGCGUGAAGACGUUUAUGACCUUAAUAACCCACUAGAUUCCAGGUUUUCUUCUACUCCAAUGCUCCAAUCAAUUGGGUCUAUAAAAAUUUCCCUUUUUUAUUGUUUAGUCACACUUGUUCAGUUUUCACGAGUUUCUUUUGUUCGAUUUCGCUGACAAAACCCCCUUAUUUUGUUCAAUCGAUUUCGGCAUGGCUGUUUAUGUUCAUUUCUAUUAAAAAUCUCUCAUUUCUGCUGUUCCCUCUUGACAAAACUCCACCUUGAUUUUUUUCACUUACUAUUGUAUUUGUUUACGGUAUGACCAGAACUGGAUUGUUUAUGUUGGAUUAGCAGAAAAAGUUUGUCUUUUUGGUGUGUGAUUCUGAUUGUUUCUCUUCUAUUGAUUUAUGCAACUGGGAACUGAGUUCUGAUAUGCGUUUUAUGUGAAAAGUUUUACCAUUUUAAUGAUGCCUCAAGGAGUUGUACCAGUUCAGGGAUGGAACCCUACACCGUAAGUUAUGUCAUACCGGAACUGAUCACAGCAACUACAGAAACUUGCAGCAAAACGAGUCAGGCUAAUCUGUCCUCUUGACGGGAUCUAUGCAUUGUUCUUCCUUGAAGGUUUGAAAGUCCUCACACAAGAAGAUGAGAACGGAAACGUCAAACUUGAGUGUCCCGCCAUUAGUAAACAACAGUUUGCAGCUGGGAGGUUUCACAUUGACUCACGGGUGACAGCUACUAAAGAUGCUGAUCGCAUUGCUGCGCUUGAUGUUCUUCGUAUUAUCAAUGAGCCUACUGCUACUUCUUUGGUUUAUGCUUUUGAAAGGAGAAGCAAUUAAAUAAUUAUUGUCUUUGAUCUUGGUGGUGGUACAUUUGAUGUCUCUGGUACUUUACAUUAAACUGUUGCUAUAUAUAUAUAUAUAUUAGUUUGAUAAAACGGUUACAGUUUUGUAAACGAAUUUUGAUUUAUAAAAACUCAAUUGCAAUGUAUCUCAAUUGGUGACAAAAAAAAAAAAUCUAAUUAGGGGUAUAUGAUUAAAUUGCAAUGUAUAAAUGAUAAUUAAACAUUUAGAUUAAAUUUAAUAUUUGAACUUAAAUAAUGAACAGUAGAAUUUUAAGAUUUUUAGUUAGAUUUGGGUAUAUGAUUAAUUUGGGGUUUAAACCCUUACCCUAAACAUAAACAUUAAAAUUUCAAUAUUUUCAUAAUAUAAUUUCGAUCUUAAAUUUAAAUUUAAAGUUUAAUAAUUUUAAAAAUAGAAUCUCAAAUUUAAAUUAUAAUCCUCAAACAUUAAAUCUUAAAUCUAUACCCUAAAUAUAAUACCCUAAACCCCAAACUUAAAUCUUACAUACAAAGUCAUAAAUCUAUUUUUUUAAUUUAUAAUAUAAAUUUUAAACUUAGACUCCAAAUAUAUUCUAAAACUCAAACCAUAUACUUAAUUAUAAAUCUUAACCCUAAACCCUAAACCCUAAACCACAUACUUCAUAUUAACCUACAUCAUAAAUCCUAAUUUACAAAUUUCAAAAAUUUAAAUUUUACUCUAAAUUCUAACAUAUACACUAUAAUUGUGAACUCUAAAUACAAAAUCUAAAUUUUAAAUUUAAUCAAAUACAUAUACUAUAAAUGCCAAACACCAAACCCUACAUCAAACCCUAUUCUUCAAAUUGAUACUCAAACUCUAAAUCCUUUUAUAACAAUUCUUAAUUUUUUUAAAGAAAAUCAUAAUUAUAUAUCAUAAUUGAUAUUUUUGCAAUUACAAAUUGUAAUUACUGAAAUUAACCAUCACUUAAUCUUCAAACAUUAGUCUUUGUAAAUAUAUAAAAUGAUAUGUCAAACUUAAUAAGAUUAAAUAAAAUAAAAUAAAAAGAAAGAAUUGUGUGGUACAAACUACAAUCUCUAUCUCACCUCCUUUUACGUUAUUCUUCUUUUUUUUAAUAGCAAUCCUAGUGAUUCUUUUCUAUUGGCUAAUACAAAAAAGUGGGGAUAACUUCUUUUUUAACCUUAACCGUUGAUGAAUUUAAUAUAAAGGACAUAAAUAUUUGCUUUUUUUUUUAAUGGUUUCCUCUCUUUCUCGAUCUCUGCUCCUCUUCUCUUCUACUGUCGUAAACCUGAAAAAAAAAUGAAUCCAUCUCUUCUUCUUCUCUGGAAUAACUAAGAAACCCAGAAAAAUUCUCCAUCUUUUACGAAGGACUCCACUUCUCACCUCGUUGGUUCAUGUCUCAAUCCCAUCAGCUCAAACGAAAUCUGUCUCCUUUAUUUCCGAAUUUGUGUAAGUUGUUUUCGUUUGGACUCUCCUUAGAACUGUUGAUAAGAUUCAUUUUUUAUUUGUAUACAUACUGAUUUGCUGUUUUGGAAUGUGGAGGAGACAUGAGAUUUUACGGAGGAGACAGAAGAUUUGGCAGAGGAGAAGGAGGCGCCACCACCUCCAUCUGUUGAUUAUAUCUUAGAUCUGUUGAUAAAAUUCAUCUUGUAUGUGUUUACAUACUGAUUUGUUUUUUUAGAAUGUGGAGGAGACAUGAGAUUCUAUGGAGGAGACGGAAGAUUUGGCUCGAACGGUGGCUCCAACACAAGAUUGAAUCAUUUCUUCAGCCAUAGCAUCCAGAGCGGGUUGAGGCGUCGGUGUAGAAGAAGUGGUAUGUGACUGAAAGAUGGUGACGUUGAAGCGCUGUGGUGACGGAUACGAAGGCGCAGCUGAUAUGCGGCUUAGGUUUAGGUUUUGUUAAUUAGGUUUGGUUUAAUGUGUGUUUAAUUAGUUUUGGUUUAAUGUGUUAUGGUGUAUUUAAUUUUUUAAUUCUGGUUUAGUGUUAUAUUUAUUUGUAAUUUAAGUUUUAAUUAAUAAAUAAAAAUUUAUUUUUAAUUACAAA